CAGAAAAGGCUAAUAAAUUGCUUCUGUUGUGGAUCUUCCCGGCAUAAAACCAAAUUAGUUUUCAGAAAUAAAAGUCUCCAAUCUCAACCUAUGUUCAAUCACUUUUUUCUACAACUUCAUCGUAUGGCUCAUAAAUUUUAUCCCUCUGUAGUUUGCACAGUUUUGAAUAUUUCCUUUAUUUUUGUAGAUAGAAACUAAAA